GAUUCAUGGUCAAGGACUUUGGAAGAGGAGGAAUCGAUUUCGUGGAUCGAUAGUUUCCGAAAUUUAAAAUUGUCACGAAUCGAUUCUUCAAGGAAAGUUCCAAGCCGCUGGACGCGGCCCUCCCCUAGGUCGCCUCAGCCUCAACUGCGAGAGUACAGUGAGUACAAUGGGUAAGAGAUAUCACUGCGACUUCUGCGACAAGACGUUUCAGGACAAUCUGCAGAGCCGAAGGCGCCACCUCCGUGGGCUGGGCCACCAGCAGCGUCGCCAGGAGUGGUACGCAGCUUACCGUGAUGCGGCUACGAUUCUCGCCGAGGAGUCUGGGAAAGUCGCCUGCAGGAAGUUCCAAAACACCGGUCGCUGCGACUUCGGUCAGAGCUGCCGAUUCUCUCACUGCAGCAGCGAGGAGCUCCAGAGGCUGAGAGACAGAGUGGAGGACGAAUCUCGCGGUUACCGUGGAGACGCCGAUGGCCCCGCCCCCUCGCUCCAGGAUUGGCUGCAGCAACACGAGCGGCGGUCUGGGAUCAGAGUGGAUCUCCCUGCUGGAUUCCCUCCCCCGGAUCAGCUUCCCCCGUCCCUGCGCCCCCCCCCAUUGGGGGGCUGGCCGAGUGAACCCCUCACCCAGUGGGGGUGAUGGGGGGGGGUCCAAUCCACCUGGCCACUGUCCUGGUGACUGAGAUGUUAACUACCUCGCCUGGUACACAGGAGAGUCGACGUCGCCACGCUCGGUCAGAGUCUUUGGCUGCUGCUGCUGUCAAUGUCCACGUGACGAUGAUGACGACGAUGAUGACGACAAUGAUGAUACCAGCCACGUGGUUGAGCUGCUAUCAUUUGUUGAUGGCCACGUGGCUUAUGAACAAAGAGCGACAGCAGCUGUGCGGGGCCUGACAAUAAACACGAGUUUAGUUUUAGUCUC